GCUGUCUUCCCAUCAUCUGUACGCUAGCCCAGGGAGGCUCUGCUAACCCUCCUUACCAUCCUUCACCGGCAGAAUGGUUUGAAGAGGAUGGUCCAGAGGAUGUUCUUCUUUCCUCUCAGUAGUCUCAUCCUGCUGCUCCCGGGAUGUCUCUGCCUCCUCUCGCUCUCUCUUGGCCUUCUCCACCGGCAGGUCUUCGCACAGUUGGCUUGCCAUCAUCAAUGCCG